rnacentral:tRNA from 2 species
GGAGAGGUGCCAGAGUGGUCGAAUGGGCCUGACUCGAAAUCAGGUGUGCGCGCAAGCGUACCGUGGGUUCGAAUCCCACCCUCUCCGCCA